rfam:Capsicum annuum cultivar Zunla-1 chromosome 2, whole genome shotgun sequence
UACCUGGUUGAUCCUUCCAUUAGUCAUAUUCUUGUCUCAAAUAUUAAGCCAUGCAUGUGUAAGUAUAAAAAAAUUUAGACUAUGAAACUGCGAAUGGCUCAUUAAAUCAGUUAUAGUUUGUUUGAAGGUAACUACUAAUCGGAUAACCAUAGUAAUUAUAGAGCUAAUACUUGAAACAAACCCCAAAUUUUGGAAGGGAUGCAUUUAUUAGAUAAAAGGUCGAUGUGGUCUCUACCCAUUGUUGUGAUAAUUCAUGAUAACUCGAUGGAUCAGACGGCCAUCAUGCCGUCGAUGCAUUAUUCAAAUUUUUACCCUAUCAACUUUUUAUGGUAGGAUGGUGGCCUACCAUGAUGGUGAUAGGUGACGGUAAAUUAGGGUUCAAUUCUGGAGAGGGGGCCUAAGAAACGGCUACCACAUCCAAGAAAGGCUGCAGACGCUCAAAUUACCCAAUCCUGACACGAGGAGGUAGUGACAAUGAGUUACAAUACCGGGCUCAAUGAGUUUGGUAAUUGGAAUGAGUACAAUCUAAAUCCCUUACCAAGGAUCCAUUAGAGGGAAAGUUUGGUGCCUUUACCCGCGGUAAUUCCAUUUCUAAUAACGUAUAUUUAAGUUUUUGCGGUUAAAAAGCUCGUAGUUGGACUUUGGGAUGGGUCGGCUGGUCUGUCUAUGGUGUGCAUCAGUCAUCUCAUCCCUUCUGUCGGUGAAUGCUCCUGGCCUUAAUUGGUAAGGUCGUGCUGCGGUGCUGUUACUUUGAAGAAAUUAGAGUGCUCAAAGCAAGCCUACGCUAUGUAUACACUAGCAUGGGAUAAAAUUAUAGAAUUUCAGUCCUAUUAUGUUGGCCUCUAGAAUCGGAGUAAUAAUUAAUAGGGACAGUCGAGGGAAUUCAUAUUUUGGAGUCAGAGGUAAAAUUCUUGGAUUUAUGAAAGACGAACAAAUGCGAAAGUAUUUACCAAGAAUGUUUUCAUUAAUCAAGAACAAAAUUUGGGGGCUUAAAAAUAAUCAGAUACCAUCCUAGUCUCAACCAUAAAUGAUGUUGACCAGGGAUCAGCAGAUGUUGCUUUUAGGACUCCGCCGAUACCUUACAAGAAAUCAAAGUUCUUGGGUUCCAAAGGGAGUAUGGUCGCAAGGCUAAAACUUAAAGGAAUUGACGGAAGGGCACCACUAGGAGUGGAGCCUACAGCUUAAUUUGACUCAUCCCAGGGAAACUUACCAGGUCCAAACAUAGUAAGGAAUGACAGAAUGAGAGCUCUUUCUUGAUUCUAUGGGUAGUGGUGCAUGGUCUUUCUUAGUUGGAGGAGCAAUUUAUCUGGUUAAUUCUAUUAACGAAUGAGACCUCAGCCUGCUAACUUGCUUUGCAGAGGUAUCCCUUCGCAGCCAGCAUCUUAGAGGAACUACGGUAUUUUAGGCCAUGAAAGUUUGAGGCAAUAACAGGUCUUUGAUGCCCUUAGAUAUUCUGGGCCUUACGCGUGAUACUUUGAUGUAUUCAUCAAGUUUAUAGCCUUGGUUGACAGGCCUGGGUAAUCUUUGAAAUUUCAUCGUGAUGGGAUACGUUGUUGGUCUUCAACAAAGAUUUCCUAGUAAGCGCGACUCAUCAGCUUGCGUUGAAGACUUCCUUGACCUUUGCAUACACCACCCGAUGCUCCUACCGAUUGAAUGAUACGGUGAAAUGUUCAAAUCGCGGUGACGUUGGUGGUUCGCAACCCAUGAUGUCAUGAGAAGUCAAAUGAACCUUAUCAUUUAGAGAAAAGAGAAGUCGUAACGAGGUUUUCAUAGGUGAACCUACGAAAGGAUCAUUG